rnacentral:snRNA from 1 species
AUACUUACCUGGCAGGGGAGAUACCAUGAUCACGAAGGUGGUUUUCUCAGGGUGGGGCUUAUCCAUUGCACUCUGGAUGUGCUGACCCCUGCGAUUUCCCCAAAUGUGGGAAACUCGAAUACAUAAUUUGUGGUAGUGGGGAACUGCAUUCACACUCUCCCCU